UACGAAGGGAGCUAGCGUUGUUCGGAAUCACUGGGCGUAAAGCGCACGUAGGCGGAUUGCUAAGUCAGGGGUGAAAUCCUGGAGCUCAACUCCAGAACUGCCUUCGAUACUGGGAAUCUUGAGUCCGGAAGAGGUGAGUGGAACUGCGAGUGUAGAGGUGAAAUUCGUAGAUAUUCGCAAGAACACCAGUGGCGAAGGCGGCUCACUGGUCCGGUACUGACGCUGAGGUGCGAAAGCGUGGGGAGCAAACAGGG
rnacentral:rRNA from 1 species